UCUUCAUUUCACGUGCUCUCUCACCCGGUCAGAGUGACGAGAGAGUGUGCGAAAUGAAGAGA
rfam:Pristionchus pacificus strain PS312 contig5732, whole genome shotgun sequence.